AUGCCGUCGUCCCAAGCCCUAGCGCUUGUCUCGCUCGCCCUCCUCCUCUUCUGCGCCCGCGCCUACGCACAGGCCGACGACGUCUGCGCCGACCCUGCGGCGGGCGACGCCUGCCACAACGUCCCCAAGGCGCUGCGCCUGAAGCUGAUCGCCGUCCCGGCCAUCCUCGUCUCCAGCGUGCUCGGCGUGUGCCUGCCGCUCUUCGCCAGGUCGGUGCCGGCGCUCCAGCCCGGCCGCAGCCUCUUCUCCGUCGUCAAGGCCUUCGCGUCGGGCGUCAUCCUCGCCACCGGCUACAUGCACGUGCUGCCUGACUCGUUCGACAGCCUCAGCUCGCCCUGCCUCCCCAAGAAGCCGUGGGGGGACUUCCCCUUCACCGCCUUCGUCGCCAUGCUCGCCGCCCUCUUCACGCUCGCGGUCGACUCGCUCAUGCUCACCUUCUACAACCGGAACAAUAAGGUCGGCAGCGGCCCCAGCAGCGCCGCUGUCGCCAGCCACGAGAGCCCGGAGCAGGAGGGACACUGGCACAGUCACGGCCACGAACAUGCACAUGGCCAUGCCCACGGCAUGAUGUUGGACAAGCCCGAAGAUGCUGAGGCCGGCCAGAUGCAGCUGCGCAGGAACCGCGUUGUCGUUCAGGUUCUGGAGAUGGGCAUAGUGGUGCACUCGGUGGUGAUCGGGCUGGGCAUGGGCGCGUCGCAGAGCGUGUGCACCAUCCGGCCGCUGGUGGCGGCCAUCUGCUUCCACCAGAUGUUCGAGGGCAUGGGACUCGGCGGCUGCAUCCUCCAGGCGGAGUACGGCGUGAAGAUGAAGGCCGGGCUGGUCUUCUUCUUCUCCACCACCAUGCCGUUCGGGGUCGCGCUGGGGCUGGCGCUCACCAAGGUGUACAGGGACAACAGCCCCACGGCCCUCAUCGUCGUCGGCCUGCUCAACGCCGCGUCCACGGGGCUGCUGCACUACAUGGCGCUCGUGGAGCUCCUCGCCGCCGACUUCUUGGGGCCCAAGCUGCAGGGCAGCGUCAGGCUCCAGCUCGUCUGCCUCGCCGCCGUCCUCCUCGGCGCCGGCGCCAUGUCCGUCAUGGCCAAGUGGGCAUAA
rnacentral:rRNA from 1 species